AGUUAACACACAUACAGGAUGAUGUUUGUGUCACAUGUGAAACUAUGUGAAGUGAACUGACUUCUUCUAACGUCUGGAAGUUGGAAGGAGCUGUUGUGUUGCUUCGUAUGGAGCGAGCAGCAGAGAUGAAGAGUUGCAGGCCUCGUCUGAACGCAUCAUGUCUUGUGUUGGCUUUGCAUUCUGGUCUUUGGAGGCGUCUGUCAGUGUGGGCUGUUAUCUCUGCCGCUCCCGGGACGGAUCUCUCCUUGUAUGAUUGCUGAACGCCGUGAAAAUGGCUUCACUGUAGCUGCUCUGGAACAUCCUGACACCAGAUCACAGUCUCUGACUGGCCGGAUCCUCCGGAGUGAAACAAACGACAGAGCUGGAAGAUGAGACCAGAACCAGGCGAUCCAUCGACACCAGCUGCUUCUGUUCACAAUUUAAAGACAGUUUGGCUUGAAUUAGAUUUCCUGUGCUGAUCACUGAGACGCUCUCUUCUGUUUCACAGCUGUCCUCAUAUUUCCAGAUGUCUCCAGCCAUCUUCAUGAAGCCUCUCGUCCUCUCGGGCUGAACUCUGAGUCCAGAGAGCAAACUGGACCUUCAGACCACAUCAGCUCAAGCUCACACUGACUCACUUCACAUUCAUGUAUUUUAAU